UGGGGAAUUUUGGACAAUGGGCGAAAGCCUGAUCCAGCAAUGCCGCGUGUGUGAAGAAGGCCUUCGGGUUGUAAAGCACUUUUGUCCGGAAAGAAAUCCUUGGCUCUAAUACAGUCGGGGGAUGACGGUACCGGAAGAAUAAGCACCGGCUAACUACGUGCCAGCAGCCGCGGUAAUACGUAGGGUGCAAGCGUUAAUCGGAAUUACUGGGCGUAAAGCGUGCGCAGGCGGUUUGCUAAGACCGAUGUGAAAUCCCCGGGCUCAACCUGGGAACUGCAUUGGUGACUGGCAGGCUAGAGUAUGGCAGAGGGGGGUAGAAUUCCACGUGUAGCAGUGAAAUGCGUAGAGAUGUGGAGGAAUACCGAUGGCGAAGGCAGCCCCCUGGGCCAAUACUGACGCUAAUGCACGAAAGCGUGGGGAGCAAACAGGAUUAGAUACCCUGGUAGUCCACGCCCUAAACGAUGUCAACUAGUUGUUGGGGAUUCAUUUCCUUAGUAACGUAGCUAACGCGUGAAGUUGACCGCCUGGGGAGUACGGUCGCAAGAUUAAAACUUAAAUGAAUUG
rnacentral:rRNA from 1 species